rnacentral:rRNA from 1 species
UACAGAGGGUGCAAGCGUUGUUCGGAAUUAUUGGGCGUAAAGGGCGCGUAGGCGGUGCGGUAAGUCUGUAGUGAAAUCUCUGGGCUCAACUCAGAGUCUGCUGCAGAAACUGCCGUGCUUGAGUGUGGGAGAGGUGAGUGGAAUUCCCGGUGUAGCAGUGAAAUGCGUAGAUAUCGGGAGGAACACCUGUGGCGAAAGCGGCUCACUGGACCACAACUGACGCUGAGGCGCGAAAGCUAGGGGAGCAAACAGG